UACGAAGGGGGCUAGCGUUGCUCGGAUUGACUGGGCGUAAAGGGCGCGUAGGCGGUUCGUACAGUCAGACGUGAAAUUCCUGGGCUCAACCUGGGGGCUGCAUUUGAUACGUGCGGACUUGAGUGCGGAAGAGGGUCGUGGAAUUCCCAGUGUAGAGGUGAAAUUCGUAGAUAUUGGGAAGAACACCGGUGGCGAAGGCGGCGACCUGGUCCGAUACUGACGCUGAGGCGCGAAAGCGUGGGGAGCAAACAGG
rnacentral:rRNA from 1 species